ensembl:lncRNA
GAAUGAGUAGAUGUGUCCAAACGUUUACCUGGUACUGUAUAUGAAACGGCUCACUUGAAUGUGAGCAAAUCAGUUAUUCAAAGUUCUGUUUUGACAUCACCAAGCCAUUACAGAGAACAUGUCUGGAUGAGGAUGGAUUUCCCCUACAACCCAAUUUACACCAGCCACAGUGUGUUCCACUAACAGAGUCAGAGCCGUGGGGGCUCAGUUGGUGGAGGGCUCGAACUAGAGUGAGUGUGUGUGUGUGGUGUUUUACAUAACUCUCAAUGUGUGUGUGUCCUCUAGUGGGGCCACAGGAAGAGCAGGGGCCACCACAGUGAGGAUGAGGCCAGGUGGGUACCACAGGAAGAGCAGGGGCCACCACAGUGAGGGUGAGGCCAGGUAGGUACCACAGGAAGAGCAGGGGCCACCACAGUUAGGAUGAGGCCAGGUAGGUACCACAGGAAGAGCAGGGGCCACCACAGUUAGGAUGAGGCCAGGUAGGUACCACAGGAAGAGCAGGGGCCACCACAGUGAGGGUGAGGCCAGGUAGGUACCACAGGAAGAGCAGGGGCCACCACAGUGAGGGUGAGGCCAGGUAGGUACCACAGGAAGAGCAGGGGCCACCACAGUCAGGGUGAGGCCAGGUAGGUAACACAGUUAGGAUGAGACCAGGUGGGGUGGGACAGAGGUCCAAGGCUG